UACUCUUGAGUUCUCUUCAGAAUGCAUAAAUCUUUCUCCUUUUAGUAAAGAUUUGCAUGGAGGCAGUCAGUAAGGGUUUAAUGUCUAUUUUUGUUAGACUUACAUUUGUAGGGUG